AUGGCCUGGAACUUAUGGAAGGAACGAAAUCGCCGUGUCUUCCAGGCCACUAGUACACAACCUCCAGUUUUGUUGCAAAUGGUUAAAGAUGAUGUCGGCCUCCUGGAGGAGGCCUUUUGGGAAUAA
rnacentral:rRNA from 1 species